UUUUCUUUGGUUUGCUGUGUGUACAAUGCACUCUCUAUGUUUAUUAGUGGAUGCAUGGGUAAGGCCACUUCUCGUGCUUUAGGUUAAGCGGCCCUGGCGCUGUGACUGCUAUUAGUUGGGAUACCUUAAUUUACUAGCAACCAUUCGAGUUAUCGUGCAGUAUGCAACACUGCAAAAAUGAACUCUCUAUUUUGGGCUUCUUUCUGUCCCGCAACAAAAAUUGACAUCUAUCUCGCGUGUCCUUCCUUGCAUUAUCGUCGUUCUCAUAGGCGGUACUCCAAGUUCACGAACAGCAUGUGUACUGUCAAUGUGGCAUAGCAUUGUUAAUAGGAACAUGACGAGCACCCAGCUUUGAGAAAAAAAAUUUUUUGUGCAAUCUGCAGGGGAAGAGCCCAUCGCUUUCAAGGCAUUUUAUCUUGGUCACUAUCGAAAGUGCACCGUGUGGUACGGGCUGUACCUGCACACUCAUUAACUACUUCACUCUAUCUGCCAAUGGACGUGCAACAAUGGCUAACGCAUUUUUUUUUUCUUUUUUCGUAGUCGUGGUCGUGCCCACUCAAGCGGGAGCUUCGCAUCUCCAGCGGCAAAUGCAGUUAUAUCGAUGGUGUAUGCGGCCAGUGUAAGCAUGCAGCGGCCGUGUACGUACACAUAAACACUUGUGAAGAUGACAGCUGCACAAACCAACCUCAGCAGUGGGGGAAAGCCCAAAGGGAAGCGUCGGAUCCAGCGAUCACAGCACUUGGCAUACAAAUUUCCUAAUGAUUCUACAACGCAGAAAAGAGAUUUUUUGGCCGAAAUGACAGCUGAUCAGAGGGAAAUAUACCAAGCAAAGACAUCUCUAGAGCAAACCCCAGUUGACUUAGCGUUACUGACCCAAGGACAGUCAACGUGUACACGGUGGCAUCAGGAGCGGAAACUGCGUCUCAGCAGCACCAAAGCCCACAUGAUUCGGACAAAGAAAGAUGACCAAGGGCUCUGGAAAGCUGCUCAGCAACUUCUUAAAUCCAGCUCCUACAAGAGCGCUGCCAUGUGCUAUGGAAUCAGAGCCAAGAGGACCUGGAAAGGAGGCUUGGCACAAGUACUAUAGUGCAGACUGGACUGGUGGUUCUUCCUGAGCAACCUUGGCUGUGCUGCAGCCCUGAUGGCCUUGUACAGCUUGAUAGUGAGACUGUCCUGAUUGAAAUCAAGUGCUCAUAUAAAUUGAAAGAUUCACCAUUUAUUAGGUAUGAAGAGCGGCACUGCAAGCUUCCGUACUUGAUCUUCAUUGAUGACAUAAUUGAAUUAAGAAAGUCACAUCAGUACUACACUCAGAUACAGGUCCAAAUGUAUAUUCUUCACUUGCAGAGAGCACUACUUUUUGCAAUGAUUCCACUCCUGCGCCAACUGCGCCAAAGUGCGCCAAAUGGCAUUUAGUGCGCCAUCCUGAUAAUAUCGACGAAAAUUGCGCCAAACUGCGCCAAAGUCUGGGGUUUGGGGGCGUCUAUCACUGGCAAUUGCACCGCCUGCGCGUCAGAACAUGUGCAGAUUGAUCUUAGGGCUGACAAAGUCACAACCAUGGACCGAGAAUUAUUCCGCUGAAUAAAUCGCGCUCGCGCGUGCGUCCCAAGUAAGCCACAAUGCCAUGCAUAGUGCCGACGCAGCUUCUGUUCUGCAAGUCGGCUCGACAGCAAAACGCGCUCUCCAUAGAGGCUCGUGACGUCUAGGCCUAUCGGUAGCGAGAAAGUGCGACGGCGAUUCAUCGGUGGACGUCGUCUGCUCCAGAAACGCUUCUGAUAGCUCGUUUCAAGCAUCGCACGGCACGCAAGGAAAGCAAUGUUCAGUAAUACCUACAUGCGUGCCGCUAAAAUGUCUGUCACUUCUGUUUCUGUACAUCGCGGAAUGAAUUCUGGGAUCGCUAGCAGUAGAUAUGUGGAAUGAUAUCGAAUUUUUCUUGCUUCGCGUUUAUGGAAGAGCACGCGAGGAACGCGUUGACACUUUUCCUCAGAUAUACUUUAUCCAUGGAUCUUCAUCCAGAAGAGCUUUUUCGUAAUUCCUUCCACCAGCACAUCCGAGUUCGUAAUCACUCUGUUGUAAAUACCCCCUAAAAGGCCCUGCCCUUUUGAGCUCACGUGCUAGGGUUCGAAUUCGAAUUUUGCUUGCUUUUUUAAAAAUGUAAUCUCAUUAUUAAAGCAUAUCUCCUGGUAGGAGCAGCCGCAAAUGCGCAGCUGUCAGUAGCGGGCCUGUCCCUGACGGCCCACAGUGAAGCGGCUACGCCAUGUUACACGUCCGCCCCUCGCUUUCGAGGGUCAAUAGCUGACGGUUAAAAAAACUCAGUUUCACUUAAGGCCGAAACAAUGAAUGCGAUACCAACAAAUUGUAUUGUUCAACGAAGUAAGGCUAGCAGCUAACUCUUUUGGAUCCGAUCUCGUGUAAUUCAACAAAACGCUGGUUUAAGGGAAUAUGGCCACCCCAGGAACCGAAGCGUUUUCGUGCUCUGAGUUUUCUAAACGCGAAGUAAGCGUUGAGACCACAGCAAGAUUACGAACCGUCUCCUGAUGCCUCGAGAUAGCGCGCGUGCAAGCUACUGCGCCCUUCGAACGAUGCAUUCCCCUCCUCCCCCCCCGCUCCCCUGGCGCCCCUUCGUGCUCUUUACGAAAGACGGGCGGGGCGUUUCCUCUCUGUUUAAUGAGCAAUCAACGGCAGGCCCGCACGCGGGAAAAUGUUAUCUCAUGCGCUCUUCGUGCGACGGAGACAGACGGCCGGCUAGUUUUAUCUCCGCUUCAGCCGUAUUCGUCGCCAGCGCUCGCGAGCUUUUACCCGCGGCUAGAAUGCGCGUGGUGAUGUUAUUAAUUUGGACUUUAUACGAAAAAUUACGGCAACGGCGACGGCAAAAUUCCGCCGAGAGUGUCCAUAUAUUUGCUAUCACAAUAAAAAUUAAAAAUAAAUUGAGCAGCCAUUUUACUCUGUGAAGUGGAUGAUAAGCGAAGCUAUAUCGCGCAUGGCACAGAUGUGACAUGGUGGAGAACAGUUUGGUAUGUAAGGCCAGGUUGUCAACCGCCAAGCUGUUAACGUUCAAUAUGCAAUAUGAAUGCGAAAGCCUUAGAUGCUUUAUCAAACACGAAAAUUGACCGUCGGCGGCGUCAAUCGAUUGAUGCAAAAAAUAAUCAUGUGAUUGCGUUAUCAUCACGUCAUAGCUCAUCAAAACUUGUGACGUCAUCAUUGCCUCAUAUAUCGUGAUGUCACUUGAUGACAUCAUCAUAGGACAUCGUCGCUUUACACUGCUUCCGUGAUCGGUGCGCCGAUCAUGGAGCUAGCGCAAAAGCAGGUGAGGUGCACAAAGCUUGCAGAGAGGGAAGGGGAGGAUCUACCUGUCGAUCGAGAAGAAAAAGAACCUGGCUUUCGCCUUGGAGUUUUCUUAGGGGAAUGCAUUAGGGACAGUGUGGCUCUUUGGCAUUGAGGCACUGCUGUACAUCACGGCGUUUGUCUACCAUGUCUGCUGAUAGCCACGUAGGUGUAUUUAGAGUGUUAUUUCAUAAAAUACAAUUUUAUUGAUCCGGAUUUCCGUUUACUCUUAUUUUUUCAUUAGCGAGUGAAGUAUGGAGUUCUCCUGAGAUGAUUUUUUCCAUGAUACUUGCAAUGAAUCAAAAUAUUUCUAGCCUUCAUAAGAGCCCAAUAAUAAUAUUCAGGGGCUUCAGUGUUAAUGCAAUAUGCUUCUGUAGUGCACUCCAGGAUGUAAAAUUUGCUGCUCCAGAGUGCUCCCAGAUGCAAAAUUAUCUGCUCCAAAGUGCUCCAAGAUGAAAAUAUUUGCUGCUCCAAAGUGCUCCAAAACGGAAAUUUUGCUGCUCCAAAAAUUGCUCCAAAUCAGAAGUCCUCGGUGGCAUCACUGCUUUUUGUGUACAGUUCAAAUCAGUCUGUCAUAGUUGCUGUGAAGAGGGAUGAAGAAUUUUUGUGGGAACUCAUCCCUAAAAUGGAGUAUUUUUAUUUAAAGUUUUUUUGUUUUCGCCAUUUUUUAGAAUUGCUUUCCUUCAAAUAACGCGCCGUAUGCUUUACCAAUUCAGCUACGGUGGCGCCGUCCAUCGGCUGUUUAAGUGCGUGCAAUCUUGAGUGUGUCAGUCAGCGCCGCUCUUAUCCAUGAUGGCAAGUGUGUACUACUCUUUCUUGCCAGCAGGCGUCACGCAGUUCGUGAUCUAACAAAAGUACAGAAAGACAGUGUUUAGAUCUACAAUACUAGCGGUCGAGUUGGAAUGACUAUGCCACAGCUUUGCAAAUAUGAAUACAGUGCCUCCAAUACGAUGUGUGGUAUAUGACUAUAGGCCAAGUGCAAUACCGUUAGCUACAUGUGGCUCAAAAGGAGAUAUGCACUUUCAUCAAUUAUAUGAAUUGUGUUGCUUUCAGGAUUAACCCAUCUUGCUAGAAACUUCAAAGACUAUAUUUAUUUGUAUGUUGCUAUCAGUUGGGUGUGCACGGAUUAGCCAGAGCUUGGAGAAUGCGAUCGCAGCACAUUUAUGAUGUGCAAUGUCUCAGAAAGGAAAACUGAGCUAGUUGGUAUGGAUUCUGCUUAGUACUGUGCAGCGCUCACAAAAAGAACAAAGGACGGAAGCCUUUGUCCUUUUUGUGAGCGCUGCAUGGUGCUAAGCAUGAUUUGCAAUGUGUCUAGUCUAUGUGAAACCUUUCCUUGAACUGUUCUGAAUAGAGCAGUUGCAGUGACUUUUAUGUCUGAUGUUCCGAUGUGAGGUUUUAAUGUUCCUGAAUUUUGCCAUAUAGUACUUUGCAUAUUUAGAUUUAGGUAUGUUAAAUGAAAAUGGAAAGUUGUGCUAUGCAUUUUUCAAAGCUGGGUGACAAAACAAACUAACGUGCAGUAUUUAGUUCCAAAGCAACCUUGCGCAUACCAUUUUACGCACGCUAGCUGUGGGCGAUGUUGAGAUUUUGACAAGCAGUUCACGUAAGCAUUUGCUUUUGCCUUUAAAAUUGGGUUAGAAAACAUUUCGAUUUUGCGAGAAUGCACUGUACAUGGUUUUUUACAUGUUGUAGCAUUUCACAAAGUGUUCUUUUAUAUGACUCAAAAUAAAGGUUUGAAA